rnacentral:sRNA from 1 species
GUGUGGGUCGAGCAGCGGCGGCGGCGGCGGCAGUGGCGGUCCCACUGGCAGGCGGGCAAGAGGGGAGUCCGGGCGGCGGCCGGCGUGGGAGCCGGGGGACCACCAUGGUAAAGAAGCGGAAAGGCCGCGUCGUGAUCGACUCGGACACAGAGGACAGCGGCAGCGACGAGAACCUGGAUCAGGAGCUCCUGUCCCUGGCAAAGCGAAAGCGCAGUGACUCUGAGGAGAAGGAGCCGCCUGUGAGUCAGCCUGCAGCCUCGUCAGACUCGGAGACGUCUGACAGUGACGAUGAGGCUACCGUGCAGUGGCGAAAUCUCAGUUCACUGCAACCUCUGCCUCCGGGGUUUAAGAGAUUCUCCUGCCUCAGCCUCCUGAGUAGCUGGGACUACAGUGGACAUUUGGGAGCAAUAAAAAUAAGAAGAAAGGAAAAGCCAGAAAAAUAGAGAAGAAAGGAACCAUGAAGAAACAGGCCAACAAAACUGCCU